GAUGAACGCUGGCGGCGUGCCUAAUACAUGCAAGUCGAGCGAAUGGAUUAAGAGCUUGCUCUUAUGAAGUUAGCGGCGGACGGGUGAGUAACACGUGGGUAACCUGCCCAUAAGACUAGGAUAACUCCGGGAAACCGAGGCUAAUACCGGAUAAUAUUUUGAACUGCAUGGUUCAAAAUUGAAAGGCGGCUUCGGCUGUCACUUAUGGAUGGACCAGCGUCGCAUUAGCUAGUUGGUGAGGUAACGGCUCACCAAGGCAACGAUGCGUAGCCGACCUGAGAGGGUGAUCGGCCACACUGGGACUGAGACACGGCCCAGACUCCUACGGGAGGCAGCAGUAGGGAAUCUUCCGCAAUGGACGAAAGUCUGACGGAGCAACGCCGCGUGAGUGAUGAAGGCUUUCGGGUCGUAAAACUCUGUUGUUAGGGAAGAACAAGUGCUAGUUGAAUAAGCUGGCACCUUGACGGUACCUAACCAGAAAGCCACGGCUAACUACGUGCCAGCCGCCGCCGUAA
rnacentral:rRNA from 1 species